UACAGGGGUAUGAGCUCCCGAGCGGUGCUGCGCAGUCCCUUUCUGCUGUGUUGCCUUACUCCGGCUGGUUUCAUUGGCUCAGUUGGAAGGUCUAGCUGUCAAGGUACCAGAAAGCAGCAUCCCGCUUUCAGAGGAGAGAAGCGGUCAAGAGCUCUACUCAGCUAUGAUGCCUACGGAGCGUAACAGUGACUGCUAUGGCAUGAGGACCCUGAGGGAGCAGUAGUGGAAUGAAUACCUUCGCAGCAAACAACACGUCUCUAACUGGACGUAAGAACCACUCAACAUAAGGGAAAUCAAGCCUGAUGCCAGAAACCUAGACAAUUACCCAGAUUAGCUAGUUCAAAUCCCUGAUCAAGGAAACAUCUCUUUGUAACAGAUGAAGACCUCUACAGAAAACCACGACCAGUCAAAAUGCAGAGCUGUGGAGGGAUAAGCGGCCGUCAUGGAUGAUCGUUAUAUUGCCGGAUGCAGGUUGUAUUGCAGGCAUGGCAGCAGAAGCUGAGCGAUCACAUCUCUACUUCAGACAUGAGUUAGAGAAAGGGAGCUUGAAGUCAAGCCAGGCUGUGACCUGUCAGAGCCCUUCCCCAGUGACGUACUUCAUGCAGCAAGGGUUCACUUUUCCGUAACAUGCCAUCCAGUUCCACCAGCUGGGGACCAUGCCUUUAAAUAUGUGAGCCUAGAGGUGACAUUCCUCAUUCAAACCAACACUCUGCUAUAGAAAUAUCUUCAUGAUGAUUGUUAAAUUAAAAAAAAAUUAACCAAAAUAUAGAACUGUUGUAGCAUA